GGGGGGAUGUGGGGUCCCCCCUGAGAGGGGGCGGUGGGGCUGGGGGUGGCCCCGGGACCCCCCUAAAUGGGCUGCCCCCCCCCCAGCCCGAGGGUUGCCAUGGGAACCAGAGGGCUUCUGAUGUCACGGGGAGGUUGCCACGCGACGGGCCCUGCAUGAUGUCACUGUCACCAUGGCGACAGCACGGGGGGAUUUGGGUCCCCCCCGGGGAUAGGGGGGGGGGGGGGGGGGGGCACUCCUGGCCCCCCGGGGGGACAGGCACCCGUGGGACCUCGCCCGAGGGGACUGCGAAUGCUUCUCAUUAAAAUAGUGGGAAAAAAAAUCCCCAAAAACA